GUGGAUUGAGGGCAUAAUGGGUAGCUGAUUAUGGGCAUUGUGGAAUGUCUUUGAGAAGUUGCUCAUCCCUCAAUGUUCUCACAAAUCCUCAAAAGACCUAAAAUACUCUUUACCAGAUCCUACAAUCUAGUUCAUUAAUUUACAGGAUUCACGCAUCCAAGAUGGAAGGUGACGAUGAUGCUACUCUAUAUCGACAUGGUAGAAAAACAACAUGGGUUUGUACGAAGAGAGUGUUGUGCCAAAGCUGGUGCUAAAAGACAAUGGAUUAGAGGUGAAAGUUAUCGCUCUUAAGGACAUGUUGACUCUGACGAUGUGCAAAACUAGGUGUCUGCACCACUAUCGUCUUUGCCACUAUCACCACCUUCACCAUUUUAGGGAUCACCACCACCACCACCAUCAUCACAUGUUUAGAGAUUUUCGAGACCCUUUAAUAUGUCUUUGAUACGACAUUUAGAGGACCACGUGGCGGCCGACACAUGGGUUGAAGAUGAGCACAUUCCUCUUAAAUGCAUCAACAAUUAUUGAAAGAUAUCUCAGCUAGAGAUUCCAUCUUUUACUAUUGAUUGGUUUAGAAAUCCAAUCAAAGCCUCUAGUUUUGCUGAUCUUGGGCGCACAUGCUACAAAUUAAUAAACAUCAGCUUGUUGUAAGCAUUUGUUGAAACGUGGCACCGAGAAACUAGCACCUUCCUUCUUCUUGUUGGUGAGAUGACAAUGAUUCUAGAUGAUGUGUCCUAUUUUCUGCAUUUAUCCAUCACUAGACACAUCUUGGCACAUACAUCGAUAAAAGAUGAAGGGGUUGAGUGGUUGCAUAAUGAUCUUGGGUUCAACUCAAAUGAUGCACUAAUAGAGAUUCAAAGAGCUAGAGGAGCUCAUGUCAGAUUCUCAACCCUUGAAGCACAGUUCUUUAGUCAUUUGAAUAGACCAAUUCAGUUUGAUGUUGAUGACAAAGUGAAGGAAUAUCAUAUGUUUUACUCCAUAAGAUAUUAUCUUCUCUACUUGGUGGACACAAUCAUAUUCAACGACAAAAGUGCAACGUACGUCGGUGUUAUCUACGUGUAGUACUUAAGAGACCUAGUGAUCCGUUGUCGCACACGGAUCAAAUACAAUUAAUAAAAUGUAAAUAGAGGUAAUAACUCGAAUUA